CAAACUCAUGGCACAGCACCCAGCCAUUCGGAAGAUUUGAGGCACAAACAUCAUCCAUUCAAAAACAUCUGGAAUGUCCUGGAGGAACACAAGAAGACCCUUUUGAGGAUAACAGAAUUCAUAAAGUACAUGCCAUGGAAGAGCACAUGGGGCCAAUGACAAGGAAGAUGGAGGUUAUGGAGAGGAAGUCCAUGACUUUGAAGGCUGCCAUGGCUUUGAACAUGCCACGACCUGCUGUUGGUCCAGUGCAGCAGAGAGCAUAAGCUGGUGGAGCUAGCCAGAAGCCUGGCUCAA